CAGUCGCCACGGGAAUACGGAGGGAGCUAGCGUUGUUCGGAAUUACUGGGCGUAAAGCGCACGUAGGCGGCUUUGUAAGUUAGAGGUGAAAGCCUGGAGCUCAACUCCAGAAUUGCCUUUAAGACUGCAUCGCUUGAAUCCAGGAGAGGUGAGUGGAAUUCCGAGUGUAGAGGUGAAAUUCGUAGAUAUUCGGAAGAACACCAGUGGCGAAGGCGGCUCACUGGUCUGUAACUGACGCUGAGGAGCGAAAGCGUGGGGAGCGAACAGGAUUAGAUACCCGAGUAGUCCCUGUCUCUUAUAC
rnacentral:rRNA from 1 species